rnacentral:rRNA from 1 species
UACAGAGGGGGCAAGCGUUGUUCGGAAUUACUGGGCGUAAAGGGCGCGUAGGCGGCCCGCUAAGUCGAACGUGAAAUCCUUGGGCUUAACCCAGGAACUGCGUCCGAUACUGGCAGGCUUGAAUCCGGGAGAGGGAUGCGGAAUUCCAGGUGUAGCGGUGAAAUGCGUAGAUAUCUGGAGGAACACCGGUGGCGAAGGCGGCAUCCUGGACCGGCAUUGACGCUGAGGCGCGAAAGCCAGGGGAGCAAACGGG